CAGAGCUCCACCAGCUCCUGAAGACAUGUGUGAACUUCAUGGCAGAGUGAUUUUCCCCAAAACAAAGAAGCUAUCUGUCCUAUACCCGAAUGCAAUUUGCCAACACUAGAGAACAGAAGAACUGUUUGAGAUUUUAAAAUGGGAGUCCUGCUGACAAAUGAUAAUAUCUACCAUUUAUCAGAAAGAAAGAGAAGUGGAGAUACACAGGCUAAGAUAAUGAAGGAGAAACUUAAAGAGCAAUGAAGACUCAAUGAGAACCAG